rnacentral:lncRNA from 1 species
GUGUGUGGGAGAAAGGAGGCCCUUGCCCUGUGAGCCACUUCUGUCCCGAAGGAAGCAGCUUUCCCUUAGCGUGCCUUGCAGGGACUUACAACAACCUCACCAGACAAGCUGCGUGCUUUCCUUGUGCUGCAGGCUACUACUGCCCAGAAAAUACUACCAGCUACAGUGUGAAUCCAUGCCCAGCUGGCUUCUACUGCCCCAGAGGAGACUGUGCUGAGGGAUUCUGGUGCAAAAGUGGUGCCCGAGUAAGAAAUCCUCAAGAUGGAGAAUCAGGACUUCCUUGUCCACCUGGUCAUUAUUGUCCAGAAGGUAGGGUGCUUUGCUAAAGCACAUUUUUUCAUAUUUCAUGUAAAGCACGAGGUGGCAUUUCCUCCCUCUGGUGCCAUUCAUUUUGCCAGGUGCACCACUUCCCCUAGAGUGCCCUCCUGGCACUUGGUGUGGCAGUGAAGGCAGCAGCAGUUUGCAGCAAUGCCUGCCUUGCCCUGGGGGAUACUACUGCAAUAGCUCUGGACAGAGGGCUCCCACAGGACCCUGCAGCCCAGGGUAAGAGAAGAUUGAACACAUUUAUGUACUCUUUAUAAGGAAAGGUGUUCUCCAAGUGGUCUUCUUCACCAUCUUGAUAUAAUGACAGUAUGCUCCUAUACUCACUGCUGCAGGUAUUACUGUGUCACCAGGGCCCAGACCCCAGCACCCACAGACGGCCUCUUGGGAGCUCCAUGUCCUGUCAAUCACUUUUGUCCUCUUGGAUCCAGGAGUCCAACACCAUGUCCUGCUGGCUCCUACAUGCCACAGACCCAUGGAGAGAAGUGCCAUGCUUGCCCAGAGGGUGAAUACUGUGUUCCUGGGGAGAAGCCAGAGCCAUGUCCCCGGGGUGAGUUAGGAUUCCCCUUACACGCCUGGUUUGCUGUAGAUUUUCUGAAGACUGCUAAUGCUGACCUGCUCUUUCUUUUCCAGGGCACUUCUGUCCCAAGGGCACAGCUCUUCCAGUGGCUUGUCCAGCAGGGUCAUAUAACCCCUCACAAAGGCAAUCCAGCUGCCUCCCCUGUCCUGAAGGGUUCUUCUGCCCCAAAAAUUCCUCUUCAUUUUUGGAGAAUGAGUGUUCAGCUGGCCACUACUGCCCUACCGGUACUGCUGCUGCCACUCAGUUUCCAUGUCCCCAGGGAACUUACAACCCACAAAAUGGAAGCAGCCUCCUGUCUCACUGUACCCCCUGUGACCCAGAUAACAAUCAGUGGAGGACCGUGUCCACCUGGACAUUACUGCAUGGUGGGGAGCAGCAGAGCCCAGCCUUGCCCUGCAGGGAGUUAUAACCCAUCCUGGAGUAUGGCACAAUGUUUGGAGUGCCCGGAAGGUUUUUACUGUAAGACUGCUUCCACAAACUACACAGAUUGCCCUGCAGGUGAGAGAGUUUUGGCAGUAGACAUUUAUAACAUACUUGGAGAUGUUAUUAAAAAACUGGUUGCUGUUAAAACUAUUGCUAAUCCUCAG